rnacentral:rRNA from 1 species
UCACGGGAGACACACGGCGGGUGCUAACGUCCGUCGUGAAGAGGGAAACAACCCAGACCGCCAGCUAAGGUCCCAAAGUCAUGGUUAAGUGGGAAACGAUGUGGGAAGGCCCAGACAGCCAGGAUGUUGGCUUAGAAGCAGCCAUCAUUUAAAGAAAGCGUAAUAGCUCACUGGUCGAGUCGGCCUGCGCGGAAGAUGUAACGGGGCUAAACCAUGCACCGAAGCUGCGGCAGCGAACGUAUCACCCAAGACAACUUUACGGAGUUGACGAUUGACGGAGCGAAGCGACGUCAAAGCGUUCAUUAAAGUCGAGUUGGCUUAGGGAUACGUUCGUUGGGUAGGGGAGCGUUCUGUAAGCCUGUGAAGGUGUGUCGUGAGGCAUGCUGGAGGUAUCAGAAGUGCGAAUGCUGACAUAAGUAACGAUAAAGCGGGUGAAAAGCCCGCUCGCCGGAAGACCAAGGGUUCCUGUCCAACGUUAAUCGGGGCAGGGUGAGUCGACCCCUAAGGCGAGGCCGAAAGGCGUAGUCGAUGGGAAACGGGUUAAUAUUCCCGUACUUGGUGUUACUGCGAAGGGGGGACGGAGAAGGCUAUGUUGGCCGGGCGACGGUUGUCCCGGUUUAAGCGUGUAGGUGUGUGUUCCAGGUAAAUCCGGUUCACUUUAACACUGAGGCGUGAUGACGAGGCACUACGGUGCUGAAGCAACAAAUGCCCUGCUUCCAGGAAAAGCCUCUAAGCAUCAGGUAACAUCAAAUCGUACCCCAAACCGACACAGGUGGUCAGGUAGAGAAUACCAAGGCGCUUGAGAGAACUCGGGUGAAGGAACUAGGCAAAAUGGUGCCGUAACUUCGGGAGAAGGCACGCUGACACGUAGGUGAAGUGAUUUACUCACGGAGCUGAAGUCAGUCGAAGAUACCAGCUGGCUGCAACUGUUUAUUAAAAACACAGCACUGUGCAAACACGAAAGUGGACGUAUACGGUGUGACGCCUGCCCGGUGCCGGAAGGUUAAUUGAUGGGGUCAGCGCAAGCGAAGCUCCUGAUCGAAGCCCCGGUAAACGGCGGCCGUAACUAUAACGGUCCUAAGGUAGCGAAAUUCCUUGUCGGGUAAGUUCCGACCUGCACGAAUGGCGUAAUGA